GCUGCUAGCCCCCCACCUUGCCCAGUGGGAAGCCAGGGCAUAGACACGGAGGAGAGUACAAAGCAUCCGCAGGGACCAGUAAACAGAGAAGAGUAGCCACAGAAGGAGGAAGCAAAGUGGAAGCAAAGUGCCAUAGGAGGUUGAAAAGGUGCUCUAUGCUUUAUAUCCAUGAUUUCUAAACCUGACGGAUCAUCAGCCUUGCUUGGAUACUUCCUACAGUGCAGAGUCUUGGGCUUUGCUCCGGCCCUAGAAGGGCUGAUUCAGUCAUGACUGAUGUUAGGCCGGCCCAGAGGCAGGGAGAUGCCCAAGAUGACCUGCAAACGUUCCUUCCC